GUGUUCAUUUCAGCACAUGCACUAAAAUUGGAACAAGAAAGAUUAACAUGGCCCCUACACAAAAAUAAGAUGCAAGUUUCUGAAGUGUUCCAUACUUAA
ensembl:snRNA U6 U6 spliceosomal RNA